CGCCGCCAGGGACAGCGCUCGCUCCCGAUCCCCUCCUCUUCCAUCGAUCGAUCCCCUCACCCUCUCCCUCUCGUCUUCUCCCUUGCGCCGCCACCCACAAAGAGAGAGAGGAGCGAGACCGCGCGCCCGGCCUCCUCCUCGACGCCAAACCCCGCCGCCGCUUGGCCCCGACACCCCGCCUGUCCGCCUCCGCGCCAGCCGGAGCCCCCGCCGCCACCUCCUCGGAGCCGCGCCGCUCCUCCCUCCGCAGUCGAGCCGUCCCGCCGCCCGGACCUCGCCGGCCAUCCCCGUCGCCGUGCGCUGCCAACCUCCUACCUCUUCCGCCCGGCCCGCCCACCGCCGUCGGGCUCCUGAGCACCUCCUUCCGCCGGCCCGACGAGCAACAGCAGCGACCUCCCCGUCCCUCGUGCGACCUCCUCCUCGCCAGAUCCACGCCGACACGUCAACCCCGUCCUCCUCCGAGAUGGAUCAGGCAAGCUGCCCGGAUCUGGCGCCGCCCCGAGGCCCCUUGUGUUGCUUUGUGUUGGACCGUCAAGACCGGCAAGAUCAACUACACGACGAGGCGCCAAUACCACGACACCCAUGUUCGUCUACGGAAUGUGUACCACUACGCCGGGGACCUUGGAUGCACCAAGUUCCACUACGAGAUGUACCACUACCGUCAUCGGGGACCCGUUUCGUCAAGUUCAAAUACACGGCUGUGACCUCGGAUUUGGACUACAAGCGCCAAGUACCCCACCGGCAAGACCACACGGACGCUCGAACGACUACAGACCGGGACGCUCGAACGACUACAGACCGAAACGCCAAGUUCCUCUCCGGACUUGUACGACUACCGUCGCGAGAACAUCUACUUCCAUUUACAUCGCAUUGAACUCGUUCCACCCUAAAAAUGCACGCUUUGAAGGUACAGGUAAUGCGAUGAUCAUGACGAGAGAGCGAUGCUUGCUUGUUUGGAGUUUUUCUUCUGCUUCUUCUUCUUCAUUCAAGGGAUAGGUUCCGGGUCGGGGAGCCUGGGUUUAGCAGGGUGGAUGUCGUUCUUCUUUUUCGUUUGAUUUCAUCAGUCGUCGGAUCCUGCUCUUCUGUAUGAUGAUUGCUAUGUAUUGAUGUAUUGAUGUAUUCUUGUUGUAA